CUGUGGGUGCAGGAAGGGCUUUCCCAGGGCAGAUACUGGUGUUUCUUGGUGGAAGAGGGGACUCUCAGGCCCUCAUGGCGCCCUAGCCACACUGCCUUUCGUGGCUGGGUCUCUGCCACCUUGUCUGUCCACCGUCUUCUAGCUGGAGACGAAAACCCAUGUCCAUGAGGAUGAAGAGGCUUACAGAGGGACACUGCUUGCCUCUAGGUAGGGGAGCAAUACGUGGGCUGGGCCCCCUGUUGCUGAUGGGGAACUCCUGCCAUGGUCCCAUUUCCACUCGGUCUUUCAUGGAGGAGUGGAGCAUCGGCCUACAGGGACAAAGUCGUCCUCAGAACAGCCCUCACCAGGGAGUUGCUCCUGUGGCCUCUUCUCGCACUGGAGGAUCCAUGUGGACAGGUGUCUACUCCAUGCUGGUGCCAAGGAGACCCAACUGCUGCCCUCACAGAGCUCAUGUCUCAUUAGGAAAGGAGACAGGAAACCAGCAGCAGCACUGCAUGUGGAAGGGAAGCUUGGGAUCCAGUGGAGCAUAUAUCUGAGAGGCUUGACCCAUGGUAAGUCCAGAGCUGAGUUCAGCUAAUACAGAGCUGGUGGGCUCACUCAACUUGGAGAAGUUCUUGAAGAGGACAGUGGGUCCUACCUGGACCAUCAAGCAAGAGAAACAGCAAAAAAGCAUUCAGACAGAUAAGGCAGCCAAUGUUCAAAUCAGGCUAAGUGUGUCAAGAAUAAUGGUGCGAUAGGUCUAGACCACCUUCCAACAACUACAAGAUGUAUACACAUUCUUCUCAGCAGCUCUACAUUCUCCAAAGUACACCAUACUUUAGGUCAUGGAGCAAGCCCUAACAAAUAAAAAAAGUUGAAAUAA